CCCCUAGACGUUCUGGGCUGCACGCGCGCUACAAUAAUACGCACAGCGAGUAUCACCGAGCUCGAAAGGGCAAGGUAAACAAUAGAAAAGGUACUGUAAUGGUUAUAGAUCCUUGUAAUUAUUGAUCUUCAACGAGGAAUUCUUAGUAAGUAUGUGUCAUCAUCACGCACUGAUUACGUCCCUGCCCUUUGUACACACCGCCCGUCGCUCCUACCGAUUGGGUGAGCCGAUGAAACUCUCGGAUGUAGGCUAUUCAUAGCCCGCAGAAGAGAUUUGAAUCGUAGCGCUUAGAGGAAGGAGAAGUCGUAACA
rnacentral:rRNA from 1 species